CCUCAAAUCAGGUAGGAUUACCCGCUGAACUUAAGCAUAUCAAUAAGCGGAGGAAAAGAAACUAACAAGGAUUCCCUUAGUAACUGCGAGUGAAGAGGGAAGAGCUCAAAUUUAAAAUCUGGCAUCCCAUCGGAUGUCCGAGUUGUAAGUUAGAGAAGUGCUAUCCGCGCUGGCCUGUGCAAAAGUCCCUUGGAAAAGGGCAUCAUAGAGGGUGACAAUCCCGUCUUUGGCACAGACUACCAGGGCUUUUGUGAUGCGCUCUCGAUGAGUCGGGUUGUUUGGGAAUGCAGCUCCAAAUGGGUGGUAAAUUCCAUCUAAAGCUAAAUAUUGGCGAGAAACCGAUAGCGCACAAGUACCGUGAGGGAAAGAUGAAAAGAACUUUGAAAAGAGAGUCAAACAGUACGUGAAAUUGUUGAAAGGGAAACGCUUGAAGUCAGUCGCGUUCUUUGGAAAUCAACCUCACCUUGGUGGGGCGCACUUUCCAUUUGGACGGGUCAGCAUCAAUUUUGACCAUCAGAGAAAGACCUUGGGAAAGUGACAUCUCUUAUGAUGUGUUAUAGACCUAGGCUCACAUGUGAUGGUUGGGAUUGAGGAACUCGGAGGUAUCAACUGAUGCCUUUCAAGGAUG
rnacentral:rRNA from 1 species